UGCAUGCACUACUGUGAGUCGCUUUGGAUAAAAGUGUCUGCAUAAUGGCAUAUA
rfam:Salmo salar isolate Sally breed double haploid chromosome ssa29, whole genome shotgun sequence.